UAGGGAAUCUUCCACAAUGACGCAAGUCUGAUGGAGCAACGCCGCGUGAGUGAAGAAGGUCUUCGGAUCGUAAAGCUCUGUUGUUGGUGAAGAAGGNUAGAGGCAGUAACUGGUCUUUAUUUGACGGUAAUCAACCAGAAAGUCACGGCUAACUACGUGCCAGCAGCCGCGGUAAUACGUAGGUGGCAAGCGUUGUCCGGAUUUAUUGGGCGUAAAGCGAGCGCAGGCGGAAUGAUAAGUCUGAUGUGAAAGCCCACGGCUCAACCGUGGAACUGCAUCGGA
rnacentral:rRNA from 1 species